AUUGAACGCUGGCGGCAGGCCUAACACAUGCAAGUCGAGCGGAUGAAGGGAGCUUGCUCCUGGAUUCAGCGGCGGACGGGUGAGUAAUGCCUAGGAAUCUGCCUGGUAGUGGGGGAUAACGUCCGGAAACGGGCGCUAAUACCGCAUACGUCCUGAGGGAGAAAGUGGGGGAUCUUCGGACCUCACGCUAUCAGAUGAGCCUAGGUCGGAUUAGCUAGUUGGUGGGGUAAAGGCCUACCAAGGCGACGAUCCGUAACUGGUCUGAGAGGAUGAUCAGUCACACUGGAACUGAGACACGGUCCAGGCUCCUACGGGAGGCAGCAGUGGGGAAUAUUGGACAAUAGGCGAAAGCCUGAUCCAGCCAUGCCGCGUGUGUGAAGAAGGUCUUCGGAUUGUAAAGCACUUUAAGUUGGGAGGAAGGGCAGUAAGUUAAUACCUUGCUGUUUUGACGUUACCAACAGAAUAAGCACCGGCUAACUUCGUG
rnacentral:rRNA from 1 species